GACGAACGCUGGCGGCGUGCUUAACACAUGCAAGUCGAACGGAAAGGCCCUGCUUUUGUGGGGUGCUCGAGUGGCGAACGGGUGAGUAACACGUGAGUAACCUGCCCUUGACUUUGGGAUAACUUCAGGAAACUGGGGCUAAUACCGGAUAGGGGCUCCUGCUGCAUGGUGGGGGUUGGAAAGUUUCGGCGGUUGGGGAUGGACUCGCGGCUUAUCAGCUUGUUGGUGGGGUAGUGGCUUACCAAGGCUUUGACGGGUAGCCGGCCUGAGAGGGUGACCGGCCACAUUGGGACUGAGAUACGGCCCAGACUCCUACGGGAGGCAGCAGUGGGGAAUAUUGCACAAUGGGCGGAAGCCUGAUGCAGCAAUGCCGCGUGCGGGAUGACGGCCUUCGGGUUGUAAACCGCUUUCGCCUGUGACGAAGCGUGAGUGACGGUAAUGGGUAAAGAAGCACCGGCUAACUACGUG
rnacentral:rRNA from 1 species